GAUCCUGUGGCUCAUGUGGAUGAGCUUCACCUCUGGGUUGUGAGGUCGCUGGUUCAAAACCCAGCCAGGACUC
rnacentral:tRNA from 1 species